rnacentral:piRNA from 1 species
UAAAACAUGUCCUCCGAUCAUUUCUGCCA